rnacentral:rRNA from 1 species
UACAGAGGUCUCAACCGUUGUUCGGAUUCAUUGGGCGUAAAGGGUGCGUAGGCGGUCGGGUAAGUCGGAUGUGAAAUCCCAGGGCUCAACCCUGGAACUGCAUUCGAUACUGCCUGGCUAGGGUACUGGAGAGGAGACUGGAAUUUACGGUGUAGCAGUGAAAUGCGUAGAUAUCGUAAGGAAGACCAGUGGCGAAGGCGAGUCUCUGGACAGUUACCGACGCUGAGGCACGAAGGCCAGGGGAGCAAACGGG